AUUGAACGCUGGCGGCAUGCUUUACACAUGCAAGUCGAACGCGAAAGCGGGGGCAACCCUGCCGGUAGAGUGGCGAACGGGUGAGUAACACAUCGGAACGUAUCCUCGCGUGGGGGACAACCAGUCGAAAGACGGGCUAAUACCGCAUACGCUGGAGACAGGAAAGCAGGGGACCCGCAAGGGCCUUGUGCGCAUGGAGCGGCCGAUGUCUGAUUAGCUAGUUGGUGGGGAAAGGCUCACCAAGGCGACGAUCAGUAGCUGGUCUGAGAGGAUGAUCAGCCACACUGGGACUGAGACACGGCCCAGACUCCUACGGGAGGCAGCAGUGGGGAAUUUUGGGCAAUGGGCGAAAGCCUGACCCAGCAACGCCGCGUGAGGGAGGAAAUCUUCGGGAUGUAAACCUCACAAGCAAGGGAAGAGAGCUCAGGGCCGAACAAGCUUUGAGUCCGACGGUACCUUGCGUAAGCCACGGCUAACUACGUGCCAGCCGCCGCGGU
rnacentral:rRNA from 1 species